CAAUUAAUUAAAUCCUGGCUGAUGUUGGUUUGGGAUUUUUUUGGGGGAUUUGGGUUGGGAAAAAUUCCCACAGCUGGGAAAAUCCUGGGAUGGGAUUUCAGAGAAUUCUGGGAAUUAAAAUGCCCCAAAAAUGGGGAUUCUGGGAAUUGAUGGGAUGGAAUAAAUGGAAUUUCUGGGAUGGAAGUGAUGGUGUUUCUGGGAUUUCAAAAGGCUAAAAAAAUGGAUUUAUGGGAUUUAAAAGGUAUAAAAAAAAUGGGAUUUAUGGAAUUACUGGAAAUUUAGGGAUUUCUGGGAAUUAAUGGGAUUUCUGGGAUUUCAAAGGCAGAAAAAAAAAUGGGAUUUCUGGGAUGGAAUGGAGUUUUUGGGAACUCGUGGAAUUUUUGGGAUUAAAAAAGGCUAAAACCAAAAUGGAUUUAUGGAACUUAAUGGGAAUGAUUUAAAUUUUUGGGAUAUCAAAGGUGAAAAAAAAUGGAAUUUCUGGGAUUCCUGGGAAUUGUAGAGAUUGCUGGGAAUUCAUGGGAUUUCUGGGAAUUCUGAGAAAUUGAAAGGCUCCAAAAUUGGGAUUUCUAGGAUCUCAAAGGCUGGAAAAAUGGAUUUUUGGGAUUGAAUUAAUGGGAUUUCUGAGAUGGAACAGCAUUUUUGGGAAUUAAUAAGAUUUCUGGAACUUAAAAGGUUAAAAAAUGGGAUUUCUGGGAUUUAAAAUUGGGAUUUCUGGGAUUUAGAAAAUGGGAUUUCUGGGAUGGGAUGGAAUUUGUGUGAAGGAAUGGGAUUUCUGGGAAUUAAAAUGCUCCAAAAAAUAGGAUUUCUGGGAAUCAAAGGGAUUGAAUUAGGGGGAUUUCAAAGGUGGAAAAAAUGGGAUUUCUGGGAUUUAAAGGGAUUCCUGGGAAUGGAUGGAGUUCCUGAGAUCGGGGGGGGGGGGGGGGGGGGGGGGGAAGGAAUGGGAUUUCUGGGAAUUAAAAUGCUCCAAAAAAUAGGAUUUCUGGGAAUCAAAGGGAUUGAAUUAGGGGGAUUUCAAAGGUGGAAAAAAUGGGAUUUCUGGGAUUUAAAGGGAUUCCUGGGAAUGGAUGGAGUUCCUGGGAAUUUCUCUUCCCAAUUUUCUCCCUUCCCUCCUUCAAUCUGGGGUUUUCCCCCUGGAAUUCCGUCCCAACCUCUGGAACUGCAGGAGCUGCGGAACGCCCCAGAAACGGAGCCGGGAUCCCGACGGCUCCUGCUCGGAAUUCCAGACCCCGGUCUCCAAACGGCUCCGAGCUUUUCCUGGCUCCCCAUCCCAGAAUUCCCGCCGGAAUUCCCGGGAGAAGCUCCUCGCUUCCCAGAUCCAGUGGUCUCCCAGCUCCGAGGAGGAAAACCAGGAGAAUGAAAUUUUUCCCAGGAAACCGGCGCCCUCCCGGAGAUUGGACAUCCCAGAGGGAAAUCCGGGAAUUCCCGGGAAUUCCCAGCCUGGCUCUGCCUCUUCCCACAAUUCCCCGCUUCCCGUGGGGGGGGGGGGGGGGGGGGGGGGGGGGGGGGGGGGGGGGGGGGGGGGGGGGGGGGG
rnacentral:lncRNA from 12 species